AUGGCAUAUUUGCAGCAGAAUGGCAUCCAGAAAUCAUUGUAAUUGUGCCAGUAUUUCAUGCGCUUAUUUAAGAGUAUUUUCUGUUCAAGGAUUUCAAAACACUUCUCUAAUGGUACGGAGAAAAGUCAACAUGGUAGAGAAGUAGGGGGACUCAAAUUUCCCUUGUCUCUCAAACACAGCAAUGUUGAGGCCAGAAGACUUGGAAUUCCAGGAAUGUGGACUACAAAUGACAGAAACAUCUCCAGGGGCCAUGUGGACAACUUGGCAGGCCAUAGCAAGCUGGGGCAAGUUCAUCUAACACCUCCUUUGAAGACCAGCAGAUGUUUCAUAAAGGGUCUAUACGUGGGAGGUCUAAGUACAGAGCUUGACUGUGAACUUUCAUCAAGGGACCUGCUUCAGAUUUCACCCAGGAAACUCUCGAGUUUGCAAGACAACAAGCCCCAUCUCCAUUGCAGCAUUAUUUACAAAAGCAAAGACAUGAAAACAAUCUAAAUGUCCAUCGACAGAUGAUUGUAUAAAAAAAUGUGGUACAUAUAUAAUGGAAUGUUAUUCAGCUAUUAACAAGAAGGACAUCCUGUCAUUUUCAACAACAUGGAUUAACCUUAAGGGUAUCAUGCUAAGUGAAAUGAGUCUGAUAGAAAGACAAAUAUGAUAUGAUCUCACUUACAUAUGGAAUCUAAAAAAACACCCAAACUCAUAGAAAAAAAGAUUGGUGGUUACCAGAGGUGGGGGUAGGAGGAUGGGGAAAUUGGGAAAUGUGGUCGAUUAUAAACUUCUAGCUAUAAGAGAAAG
rnacentral:lncRNA from 1 species